rnacentral:misc_RNA from 1 species
AUCAGUUUCACAUUUCCCCCAAGUUUUCUUACUGACAAGCAUCGUCAAGUGAUUCCUUUAGCUCACAAAUAAAACCACAGUCGACCUGGUCAUUCUUUGUAUACAUAUAAUUAACCGAACAGCUACUUACACGUCAGAAACAGCGAAGGUAAGGCCAGUGAGGGGAUGAGGAGCUUUCGGAGGAGCAGGCUGCGGCGGAGGAAGGAGCUGAAGCUUC